rnacentral:tRNA from 1 species
GAUAGGGUGACAGAAAGUAAUGUGAUAGAUUGUAAAUCUAGUUAUGAAGGUUCGAGUCCUUUCCUUAUUA